GAUGAACGCUAGCGGGAGGCUUAACACAUGCAAGUCGAGGGGUAGGGAAGCAUUUCCUGAGACCGGCGGAAGGGUGCGUAACGCGUAUGCAACCUGCCUUAUACAGGGGGAUAGCCCAUGGAAACGUGGAUUAACACCCCAUAGGAUUACGGGAUCGCAUGAUUUUGUGAUUAAAACUGAGGUGGUAUAAGAUGGGCAUGCGUCUGAUUAGGUAGUUGGUAGGGCAAUGGCCUACCAAGCCGACGAUCAGUAGGGGUUCUGAGAGGAUUACCCCCCGCACCGGUACUGAGACACGGGCCAGACUCAUCCGAGAGGCAGGAGUGAGGAAUAUUGGUCAAUGGCCGGAAGGCUCAACCAGCCAUCCCGCGUGCAGGAUGUCGGCACUAUGGGUUGUAAACUGCUUUUGUGCCUGAAGAAGAGGCCCAACGAGUUGGGAUUUGCCGGUAAGGUAUGAAUAAGCAUCGGCUAACUCCGUGCCAGCAGCCGCAGUAAAAC
rnacentral:rRNA from 1 species